rnacentral:rRNA from 1 species
CACGUAGGGCGCAAGCGUUGUCCGGAAUUAUUGGGCGUAAAGAGCUCGUAGGCGGUCUGUUGCGUCCGCUGUGAAAACUCGGGGCUUAACCCCGAGCCUGCAGUGGAUACGGGCAGACUAGAGUGCGGUAGGGGAGAUUGGAAUUCCUGGUGUAGCGGUGGAAUGCGCAGAUAUCAGGAGGAACACCAAUGGCGAAGGCAGAUCUCUGGGCCGUAACUGACGCUGAGGAGCGAAAGCAUGGGGAGCGAACAGG